rnacentral:rRNA from 1 species
GAUGAACGCUAGCGACAGGCUUAACACAUGCAAGUCGAGGGGCAGCACAGGUAGCAAUACCGGGUGGCGACCGGCGCACGGGUGAGUAACGCGUAUGCAACUUACCUAUCAGAGGGGGAUAACCCGGCGAAAGUCGGACUAAUACCGCAUGAAGCAGGGGUCCCGCAUGGGGAUAUUUGCUAAAGAUUCAUCGCUGAUAGAUAGGCAUGCGUUCCAUUAGGCAGUUGGCGGGGUAACGGCCCACCAAACCGACGAUGGAUAGGGGUUCUGAGAGGAAGGUCCCCCACAUUGGUACUGGGACACGGACCAAACGACUACGGGAGGCAGCAGUGAGGAAUAUUGGUCAAUGGCCGAGAGGCUGAACCAGCCAAGUCGCGUGAGGGAUGAAGGUUCUAUGGAUCGUAAACAUCUUUUAUAAGGGAAUAAAGUGCGGGACGUGGCCCGUUUUGUAUGUACCUUAUGAAUAAGGAUCGGCUAACUCCGUG